CAUAUCCUAUCAAUGCCUCUGCUCGCUCGGAAAAACCUUUUUCUCUCUUUCUAUUCCCGACUCUGUGUCGCGAAAUAUAUCGCAGAUUACCUAAUCAUUCUCGCCGCUUUUUUAAAAAGCCGUAUAUAGACCAAGUCCUCCUGAAAAGUAGUCGUUAUGUUUGAGGAUAUUUACAGAAAUUUUCAUCUUUCAAUUACAGUCAAGGCAACAGAAUUUCCGAUUUCUUUAUUUUUUCCGAUCAGAUUCAUGUUUUUUGGGAGGGGGAGAUUAGUUGGCCUAUCAAAGCUAUAAUCAACUGUAUUGGGGGGAAAAAGGCCUCUUCAGCUGAGACCAUCUCUUUCAAAAGGCGUGUGUUUUCCACUCAACAAUGCAGUCUGUUCUAUUUUGAAGAUAUCCAGUUUGACUUUCUUUUCUCUCUCUCUCACUCUUUUUUUUUUAUUCCUACAAGCGAUCACUAAAUGCAUUCAGUGACCUGCAGGUUUAGCCUGGACCACGCUUAAAGUUUCCGGCAGUAACUUUGGAAUGAUAGUGUCUGCUUAAGGUCAGUCAAAUGAGGCAAUGUGUUGUUGUCUUUCUGGUCAACGUUUCUCGGGGAAAAGUCUUUUCUUGAAAGUCAAGAUACGGUAGCCAAGUAGUUCGAGGCAGAAGACGCAGGCUGUCGCCGUCUUCCCUAAAAUGCAUGUCUGCUCUGUGCAGCGCUGCUCAGACUCUCAGGCUGUCCGUGUACAAGGUCCUGCUGAUCCGCUCCUGUCACGAAGGAGACCCUGGGCUCCGUUUUUCCCUCAACAAACCACAUUCACAUUGCACACACCGCGCCCGCAAACACAAACCCGCUCAUGCACGCACACACACACACGUCGAUCGAUUUGCAUGUGACUCCGUCAGUGAAUGAGCGAGUAUCGACUUAAAAACAACGCUUGAAAGAGGCAAACCGCUAUGAAAAAUAAAAAAGAAAAGAUGGACAAAGUGGGGUAAAGGGGGGAAAGUGUAGCUAGAGGAACUAAGGCAGGGCGGAGGGAUUGCCCAUUUCAGACAGAGACGUGUCGGAGAAGAACAAAAAUGUCUUUAUCCAGAAGAGGAUUUUAUAAGCACACGACGUUGGUGAAACCCCGUGGAUGUGGCAAGUGUGAAAUCUGUCAAAAUUUAGAAAGAGAGAGAUGUUCCCAUCUGCCGGACACACACGGACCCCACUAGCUGGACUUGGAGCUCCUUUUCUGGGCAGCGCUCAUGUGGAGCUGCCGCUGCCCUUCGUCCGCCGCUCAGCACAGCCCUCUCUCAUUGCGUUUGUGCCUCAAAACACGUUUCUCGACAACCACAAACCCUCUACACCUUUCCCCGAUCCCACCGAAAAGCACACAUUUGUUUUAAAACCGUGCUUUUUUUAUUCCCCCCCCCUCUCUCCACGAUCAACUGCUUGGAGUGGAUCGCUGUCUUGCCUAUUUCUUAUCUUCCAUUCAUGAGGAGGAGAGGACGGACGCUGAUGUAAACACAGGCUCGUGAGGACUCUGAUGCUGAGCGACACUUCUGGAUCCUUCAUCUUCAGCAGAACCAGACUCUCCGCUGGUCGGGAUGAAGAGCUAUAGGCUUCAACAGGCAGCAGACUACUGGCCAACAUCUCCAGGCUUCUUUGAUGUGGGAGGCAUUGCUUACCCCUAUAACUUACAGCCCAGCUCUGCAGGGACUUAUUUUUAUAACCUCCAUUAUUUUCUAUCAUAAAUAUUCAAAUCCAGAUCUUAAAUCCAGAGCUUAGUGAGGAGAAUAGCCAAAAACAACAUGCAGCUCUUCAGCUUCCCCUAGCUCUCGCUCUUCUAUAGAAAAUCAUUAUGAAGAUUAAUACAGAAAUCAAACAGAAUGCUGAGACGAGACUGCAGGACGCAGUAAAAUAAUGCACUCGAGAUGGAAUUUUUGGUCAAGGAUCUCUGGCUUUUUUGUUCUUUGUUUGUUUGAGUAUUUUGACACAUUCUGCAUUUCCUCCUUGUGGCUGUGAAUUAAUAUUUUCAGCUUGAAUAUUAAUCCUGAUUCAGUAGUGGAUUAGUUUGCCAUUGUCCCCUCUGUGCUGAGCCCUAAAUAAAGGCGCUGACAUGGAGAGGAAAUCUAUACCUCUCUGCCCUGCAAACAAAGACCUCUGCACCCAGAGAUAACACAUGUCCCUGCAAUGCAGACCCCCCUGCCUCCAACCACAACUCUACCCAUGUGCUGGAUCCUACCAUCUCCCUCUCACUUUUCUUUCUCCUUCAACCCUCAAUUCCACAUUUCCCCUUCCUCUCACCACUCUCUUCCUCCCCGUCUCUUUCUCUCUCCCCCAGAAAAACUUUGCCAUGGUAGAUUUGCAAGGCAAUUGUGCCCUUAAACCGCGCCUCUUCCUCAGCUUAUACCAUGCAUUUUCCAGAAUUUAUCAAAGAAUACAAUGGGGUUAUGCUUUCACCAUUAUUCUCCAGGCAAGAACAGUAAUUUAAAUGCACCAGUACUACUGAAGCAGGGCGCAGCCCUGCUGUCUCACUAUGGAACAGAGAGAGAUGAAAAUGCGUUACAAAAAACGCACAGCAUUACUUUGUUGACCUUUCCUGUUCUCAUAGUUUACAAACAGCUGUGAAGCUCCUUCCUCUGGGCUCUUUGUACAUCAGAGACUGGGACUGAUGGAGGCACGCCAUGCUUAAAUGAAGGGCUUUUUCUAACUUGCCUCCGUUGUGGCUCACAAACACAAUUUAACAAACACACAUUUACUUUAUUUUUGCCACCAAAGCAGUUGCCAAAGCGAAGGAGGAAAUACAUGCUGAAACAGAUAUUGCGUCCUUUUAUGUAUGUAUACUGUGCAUAUCAUAGCAGACAGUCUAUUUAAAAACAAAAGGAAAAAAAUCUAAACAUACAUAGAUCUCAAAACACCCACCCACACAUAUUACGAUUUAUUUUCCCAUCCGUUGCAGUCUCAUCAGUGGGCAAUUUUUAACCAGCGUUCCAUUUUUACGGCGAACACAACUAAAGCUGUACUGUUAUUUUUUGAUGCCACUAAAUGUGUGCGCCACAGUUCAUCUCAGACUUUGAAUGAGCUCCAAUACACUGUCCUCAAUGACACUAAUCAGCAUGUAACUGCCAGUUCAUAGGAUGAGAUGUAUUGUGCACAGACACGUGUGUUUUAUCAUGCUAUCGUGAAAGCAAACGGGAGCGUCGAGUACCGUGUUUCAAACGGUGAUUCUACACAUGUGCCCUGAGGCUGAAUGCCAGGUGAAUAUUAACAGCAAGCUGCGUGAGGGGUAGAAGAUGCAUAGGACGCAGGAUCACAAGGACACAAAGUUAGAGAUGGAAAAAAAGGAAGAAGGAAGAAAAACAACAGAAGGAUUGAGGUGGAUGAGAAGUGAGGGGAACAUAAAGGGAGCAAUAAUAAAGGAAAGUGGGACUGAAAACAGUAAAAUAUAACAAGAGGAGAAAAACGUGGACGACUGCAACAGACAGCUGGACAUGGACCGGGCCGGUCUGCAGACCUGGUCAGACUGAUGAGAACAGGCAGCAAUAGUGAUGCCAUUAUGUCGUUAAUCAAUCCACUGGUGUCUGCUUGUCUGGGUGGGCAGAUACUCACAGUCUAGAAGGGGUUAAUGGGAAAUCAAUGAGAGGGAUGUGCUUAUGAGCAGGACAAGGGGAAAGAGGGACAGGGGGUAGAGGCAGAAAGGCGGGGAGGGGGAGAUAGGAACAUUGUUUCCUGUGAUAGCAGCAGUCUUCCCAGAUGUUAUCUGUCAUUCAAAGAAACACUCUGGUGACCAGAUGUUUAGGCUCAUCGUGGUGGAGUGGGUACACAUCCUAGUGGGGGAUCAAUAUAGGUCAAGUACAUGGUAAUAUUUAUCACUACGCUGCACACACACAAGGCGCUGAUGUCUCUACAACACAGAGACUUGUGCUGUGAAGAAAACUAUGCACUUGGAAUAAAAUAAAAUAAAAUAGAAAAGCACAGCCUUCUGAUAUGUUUAUUUUUUUCAAGAGGCUAUUUACUGUAUCUGGUGUUUUUUCAUUAAUAUGGAGCUUAGGUUUGACCUGGAUCAGCAAUAUCUCUUUCCUACGUCCAUUAAAAGAAACAAAGGGAGGCGUUGAUUUGGACGGAAAGGUAAAAUAAAUACAGCAAACAUCAGCCAGGGUAGAUCUCCAAAGGCCUGGAGGCAUUUGGGGUGGUGGGUGGAGAGUUGGAAAGGGGGAACCCAGAGCAGGUCCCAGUGCAGUGAGGCUCUUUGUAGUUUGAGCAGUCUGAACUAGCCAGAGGCUUACUGCUCUAACCCAUACCACUCAGAGAGACUGUUUGGGGGAAUUACACCACAGAGUAAUAAUUAAUCAAGUAAAUGCUGAACUGCUUUGAUUUGGAUUACAUUAACAUAUUAUCAAUAAUGUAUUAAUCAAGUACAAAUAAACACCUCUGCAUAAUAGCAUACUUAAGUAACUACGCUUCCACGCUUAACUCAAAAAGUUUGGUGUUGUUUAAGCAAUGAGGAAAACCACAGCAAACUACAGUGGAAGCAGCAGAGUCUCGCGGCUUUGGAAGCAACACCUCUUGGCACUUAACUGUCUUUGUUCAUCAGCUUCCUUUUUCAUCAGCGCAUCAGCCAUUUUCAAGAACUUUUACCAAGAGGUGAAAGAAAAAUUAUGAAUUCAUUUAUUUACUCUUAACAAUGUCAGAAGGCAUCACGGGGAAUAAAUAAACACUGAUGAAGCACUGAAAACACAAUACACGUAAUUUGUGCAAAGCUACUCCAGGUUUGAUUCCAAAAGUAGCUGAGUGGAUUGAGGAGAGAAAAAAAGCAAAGAAAAAACUUAGUCACUUUUAUCAUAUGCAGAGGAGUCGAAUCAGCUCUGCUUUUGUAUUUUCACUUAAAUACAUGUUCUGUUUUUCCCAGAUAAGUUGUGUUGUUUAAAAGCAUCCGUUCUCGCCUAACGCUUUGUUCAUUGGGGGAACUUCAUGCCCAGGGAUUUUCUAAACACAAUUCAUCAAAGUGGAACGGCAGUCUUUUUUUCUGCAUUCCUAAUCCUUUUUGCUGCAGAUGAGAGAUUUGCUGUUCAGACUCAUUAAGAUUAAAGCGUUUUGCCAGAGUUAUUUAAGAAUGCAAAGUUCCAUGUGAGACCUCUCAGAGUUCAGAACAGAAGAAAAUCCUAUUGACACGCUCGGUGCACUGGGGGCUGAUCUUAGCCUAUAUUUCUAUAUUUGGUGUCAGUGAUUGAGUGAUAGCAUGUGAAACAGUUUCCCCCGCUGCAUUUGUGCUUUAGAGUUACAAUCACUUUUCCGUUCUUACAAUUAAAAGGUAACGGGUGAGCCCCUUUUUCUUCACUUGUAAAAUUCAUUUGGCUGCUUAUGCACCUAUAAAAACAUGUGACUAUACCAUCUGGUUUUAAUACGAAUGUGUAGUUUAUUGGCUUUGAUAACUAAAUAUAAACUGGCAGACAAAUUAGUUGUUUUGCGGUUAAGGGAAACAAUACAUUAUGGUCAUAGGCUGUAAAUGUGCAGUUAACUAGGCAGUAUUUAGCUUUCUGGUGUUAUUUUGGCAGCAGAGUUUGGCUGGGGUGAAAUUAUCAGUCAUCUGGUUGGACAGACAACAGUUAACGUUUAGCUGGAGGUGAUGGCAGUCUUUUAGCUGAAAAAGAAAUUAUCAUUGGAUCGGACUGAGUGUUAGUCUUCUGCCUAAGGAUUUUUAAUAUUAGCCUUUUUGGCCAGAGUCUCAGUAGUCUCUUGGCUGUGCUCUGAAGCUCCUUUCCCAAACUUUCCAACUCCAAGUGUCGCAAUCUGGUUCCAUUUUACAGCUGGCCUUGAGAUUGUAACAGAGCUCCUUUCUCUCCCUCCUCAACCACAUAUUUAAUCCCUGUGCUUAUGUCAAACUUAAUUACAGGACCUUGUACGAAAAAAUAACAAGUGAGCCUUGUAGGGGUGAGAGAGAGAGAAAAGAAGAGUAUUAAGAGAGGGAUAGAAAAAGAGACACGGGGAGAAUGUUAAGAGGUGUGAGGAGGAAAAAGGAACAACAAAGACAUUUAAUCUGUAGACUCAGCAUGCUAAAUGACCAAACAAAAAGCUUUGAUCUCAAGUACCUCUUUUUAGUUGAUGCUGGAACAGGCCCAAUCUAAGUCAGCACAGGCAUUUAAUUCAUGAGCUCUCAGUGGCCUAAAACACCCCCACCCCCCCAAAAAAACACUAUGUGAACUAGCACAGCGCAAGCAUAGUAUCUGCUUUGCAUCUACUGUAUACAUCUAUAAUGGAUAACUGCUUUUCAAAGACGCACAGGCUGUAAUGAUAAGAAAGUGACCCGCGAGCGCCCACAUUCAUAUCCUUUCAGUGAAAAUCCAGCAAAUUCUCCAGAAACCCCCCAAAUCAAAAAAAAAAGAAAAAAAAUCAUUAGACUGAGACAGUCAUUCAGCUCGUGCACGUGUGCGUUUGUGCACCUAAAACUAUUUACUCUGUAGAAGUGGAACAGCUGGGGAGAGAGAUGUUUAGUCUGUCAGUUUAAAACUAUUACCUCAAACUCUGAAAAUAUGAGCUGAGCCUGUCGUGCAUCGACACAGGGAGACAGCACUGUGAAGAACAAACCUUUGAAAAGUCUAAAUCAAUUUUUGGGGGAGUAACAUAACAAACGCUUCAGCGCAGUGAAGAAAAGGGGAUCUCUUUUUUUUAACAGUUUGAAAAGCACAUAUUCAUACAAUCUUCAUAAGGCAAAACAGCAUAAAUGCAGUAUACAUGAAGCCUUUUGAAAAGGAAGAUGACAGUGCAGCAGAAAGGGAAGAGACACAGGGAUACUCCUCAGAGAUGCAGACAAAACAAACAGGAAGACCAUCACUGCUACAUACAGAGCUCCAUACUGUUUCCCUACACCGUUCACACUCAACACACCUCACCACCCAUCUACCCACCCGUCCACCCUUCGGGGCAGCCUACUGACUAAAGCCUUCCCAGACUGGACUUGAGUGGUCAAGCAAUGGGCUACAGGAGGGAGAGUUUCCCAUGCCACUGGUGCUGGAACUGGCGCGCCACCCGGAGGUAUUUAUAGCAGGCCAGCACUAAAGGGCCGGGAGAGAGGGCAUGCUUGUUUUCCUUUCCAUUCCCCAGGCACUUUCACCAGGCCUCACAUGUGGGUGUUAAAUAUAUAUCCAAAUACUGGGAGCAGCAUUGUGGGGGCAGAGAACAGAAGGUAGUGGGCUCCAUUGGAAUUGGAGGGAGUUGGGGGUGGAGGGGUGCAGUGAGAGAUGGAGAACUGAGAGAGAAGGAUUGGGAAAACAAGUCUGAUUUGUGGGGAAAGAAAGAAAGAAAGAAAGAAAGAAAGAAAGAAAGAAAGAAAGAAAGAAAGAAAGAAAGAAAGAAAGAAAGAAAGAAAGAAAGAAAGAAAGAAAGAAAUUGGCUUUUGAUGUAGUGAAAUUGCAAAAUGUGAACAAAAGAAAGGAAGACGAAUAAGUUUGUGUGGGCUUCCAAACUCAAAUGGGCCUUAGACACACAAGUAGGCUCACUGCCAGCUCCAGGAUGCAGUCUACACCCAGACCAGGAUCAGUAGUGGCUGAACUCAACACAGAUUAUAUGUAGACUCCACAGCGGGGGGGAUAGUGCAGACAAAAUAAAGGGACAUUUGCAGGGAGGUGGAGUGGUCCUCUUGUUGUGGCUUCCUUAACUUCAAACAAUAUCUGGCUGCAUCCACUAUAGUGGAAAUACACAUCAGAGUAUGUAUACAUACUCUGAUGUGUGUCUCUUUCUAUCGCUCUCUCUCUCUCUCCUUCUGCAUGGGAAUUCCAGAGUGACAUUAUUACUAUGAUGAAAACAGACCCCAUAAAUACGGAGCACUAUGAUGAAUAUAACAGCGAUUAUGGGGGCAGCGAUAAUUAGAUCAGGAAAGAAAAACUCAUUGAAGUUUUCUCUGUUUUUGUGUUUGGGAAUUCCUUUCAACCUUGUGUCUUAAUGUAUGAGGAAUUACAGAGCCAACGGUAGCGGGGUAAUCAUGUGGGUCUCUAUGAGGGCCUCUUGGGGCCUCUUCAGUGAUCCUCUCUCCUGUUUUAGCUCUCUGCUCCCACUCACAUCUCGGUAAAAGCCACCCUGCUGUCUGCUUUUUUAAUGAUGGUUUGGCCAACAAACAAUUAAUAGGCUGCCCCACAGAUGCUGUUAAAAAUGAAAUAGCAGGAGCGCUCCCAAAAGAGCCCAUCCAGCAACUGCUGCUAUCUUUCCAUCCAGGUUUACUCAUCAGGUUUUAACCUCUUCAGCAGCUCUCUCUCACCUACACAGUCUCAGCUUAGAUCUUUAAGCCCUAAGACUACAGCUUUAAAAACACCCUGACCUGAGCCUCUGUCCAAAUCCCAAAUGUACAGCAGCCAUCCCACUAGCUGACUGCGUCAGAAAGAUUCCACCAUAGCCUCUGUUUUUUCAUACUUGUGGGAAAAUAGCAGUUCAUGUUUCCUUGGAUGCUUCACACAUUCCUCACCCUGUCUUCACAUUGCAGGGCCCCAGAGUAAGGGUAUGGCCAGAGCCACUCGAGAGGAGGUGCUUGGCAAAUAAGAGGUGUGGCUAAAUGAAAAUGGAAGGGAAUUUUUUUGUGUUUAUUUAGGAGGGAGUUGCUAGGCGAUGGGAACUCAAAUAGGCACUAAUUACAUUUCCCUGAGUUUGAUGAGUAUAACAGAACUUGGACAGGAACUUUGGAGCUCAUUUAACUUCUCAGAACACAGCUGGGAAUUAUAGAUAACAGAACAUCUGGAAGUCACAAAAAUACUUCUCUAGCGUCUAAUCCAGACUAAUUCAAAAGCUGCCACAUCCUGCACUGAACGACAACCCAAAGCCAACUCAGUGACAGUUCCAAUAUUACAACUUUUGUAGUAAAAAACAUAGACAUCUAUGAAUGACGUUUGAGUAAUUUGGGCAAAGGUUCAUGCUUUCUAGACCAUACAGCAGCCUCUCCUUAAAAUUGAGCGUUACACUGAAAGGUCACGGAAAAGUACCUCAAAGCACCGACAGUUUACAUGAACUCACACACAGACUGUUGCACUAUGCAGUAACACUCUGUGCUGCAAGUUCACAUAUUUGGCGCAAGUAUCAAAAACACGACUACUUAAGUCCCGUAAUGAAGCUGCAAAAAACACAGCCAAAACACACAAAGCCACUGAGAGAUGCGCACAAAGAAUACUCUACUUGGCCACAUUCGGGAUUGGUCUCAUCCCAAAUUCCUGACCUCAAAAUUUCAAGACAAAGGUAGCUGGUCUUGAUUUAUGCAUGCUUCAACACAGAAUGGAGAGAACAGGACAUAGUAGGGAAGAAAUUAAUUUUGAUCCUGAAAACAUUAUUAAUGGUAAUGUUUAAAACAUCAAAGCCCUGGCUGACAGAGACACAGCAUCUUCACUCUGACAAGCUGGAACAGAUGAGCUCACUUGAGUCAGUCAAGGUGAGGCACGGGGGAAAAUGUAAUUUGUCUCUCAGUUGAUUUUCAUUGAGAUUUUGUGGCGAGUAUGUGGUUCAGAAUAGGUCAAAAUCGUGUAGCUUGAAUAUGUUCUGUGGAAGGACUGACCGUGAUAUAAAGGACAGUACCUUCCUCUCUGCCAUUAGCUUGUGUGUUUGUCUUUGUGCUAUUAGUUGGCAAUGGAUACUCAGGAGCUGGUAGUUUCCUUUUAGACCAGCUGACUAAACCCACCCCAUGCAGACCACCAGCUAGAACAUAUGAAUCUCAAGUUCAUAAUGACUGACUGAGCCAGAGAAGAGACCAUCCUCUUUCUGUGUGGACUUCUCACUUUAGCUUUGGGCAAAGGGAUAAAGCUUCUCUUACUCCCACAUGUUCAUUUACCCCCCACCAUCACACCAAUUGAACCAGCGAGUCUGGGGGUAGUCACAUUGAUAUUCAACGCGCAUCUCCAUCCCCCAGCCACAGCCAUCCCCACUGGAAACAUUAUUUCAUUACAUGUAUUAUGCAUUCAGCAUAAGAGAGCUGGUGAAUGUGCAGUGUGCAGAUGCUUGUGUGUGGGUGCGGGCAGGCUCGGAUGUUUCCCUCUAUGUAUACAUGGUUGUGACAUGCCUGUUGUAAAAAGAGUUUUAAAGAGGGUGUAAAAAGUUAUAAUGCCUCAGGGAUGCAGCAUUAAUGGUACUUGGUUUACUUUGUGAGCACCAAGACAAAAUAUUUAUUCCAUACUAUUUGUGUCAACAUUAGAAAAAGUGAUUUUGCAAGUUUUACAGUGUAGCGGGACAAAGUUCCCCGCAGAGACAGAAUGAGUUUCCUCAGUUCAUCUGAGUAUGUGCACCCACAUGUGAAUGUAUACUGUGCCUCAUGCAGAGAAGGCGAUAAAGAGAUAGACAGAGAGAGCUGAGUGAAACAGGGGAAAGAGACCAGAAAGAGAUGAAGAUAGAGAGACAGACAGACAGAUCUUUCAUAUGGCCCACUGCUCUUUGGGCCCUGAUCCAGAUGUCACCAGAACAGUUUUUAUUUGUUAAUGUCUUGUUUUAAAAGCCCCCUUAAAAGCGCCUGCCGCUUUCCCCUCAAGUCUUUAAGUGGCUCGACACAGUACACUCUUGUCUGAUCCUAACUGGAAUCAAUUUGGAAAGAAACCAUUUCACCUCUGAUUAAGCACUGCUCUGUCUCUGCUGUGGCAUGCUGACCUUUCCAGAGGUCUGUCUUAUGCUGCUAGGAGGAGCCAACCAGAUGAUGUGCUAGGCUAAUUAGACUGAUUGACGUCAGCAGGCCUGGCAUGAAAGUGGUUUGUAUUUGAACCUUCGGCCAUUUGUCAGGACUCACAGUCGCAUCUCUGUCAUGGGCUCUCAGUGUCACAAGUCCGAUUCAACAGCUAAUUUCAUUUGUAUAGUGCACUACUGUACACCCAGUCACUCUUUCUAAAUCUCCCGUCACGUUUUUCCCUUUAAUUUUCAUACAUGAAUAAUCCUUUUUGUCUGACACGAGAGGCAGUCAAAAGAGCGACACCUGCCUGUUCUCUUGUGAUAUAGUGAGCCUAGUGUUCCUGCCCCCCGUGUAUGUUAAGCAAAACUUUAACUAUGUUCAGUUUAGGGUCAAAUAUAGACUCACACCAGGCCAGUAGGGCACCCAUAAGCAACUGUGCCAAAUUCCUUUUUGAUUUCAGUGUCUUGGAUGCGGCUGCCCUCGCACACAGCCUCUCUGUGUGACCCAUGUAAUCGUCAAGCAUUUCUCAUCAAUUCAUCCCUCUCGCUCUUUUCUAAACUCCUGCUAUGAAGCUGCAGUCCUGGCAGUGUAGUGCAGGUUGAACAUCUGUGUGUAUCACGGCCUUGUGUAACACAUAAAACAUGGAAGUCCCAAGAGCUAUAAAAUCUUGCAAACCCACAACGCUUUGAGAAGAGAGUUCAGAGGCAAGAAGUCCACCAGAGACCGGCCCUCAGUCCAAAUUCCAAGCACUUUGCCUCAUACACCCUGAGAAACGUUGCCUAAAGAGAGGCCUGGUAGAGAGAAACCUCACCUCCAGUUCAAGCGGAUUCCUCUGCCCUUUUAUUUGCUCUCGUUUGGCUGCAGGGGGAACGUGCUCCACUCUGACCUGGGGGCACUCAUCCAAUCAGCUCGCUAUCUGCUGCAAGGGCCUCCAUAAUAGUGACAUUUUUCCACCUCGUCAAUAAAGUGGUGAAAGCCACCCUCCACCCGCUACUUGACCAUUUAACUUCUUCCUGAAAAGGCCCUUUCUUUCUGUCUGUCUCUGUGCCUGGCUGAAAUCAAUAAAAGCAGAGCAAGGAAAGAGGCCAAUCCAGCAGCUGCAUUAACUGGUGGUCUCAACGGCUGUACAAAGAGGAUGGCUGGCAGAGAAAAGGAAACAGGAGAGCGGGCAGCUCAAGUCUUUCUCAUUCAUACAACACUGAGAGAAAUCUGCUUAUUACCAACACUCGGCGUUGUCGUCUGGUAUGAACAAGGAGAUUCUGAGAAUGAUGAAUGAAAAAAAUUCACUGCUACGCCAUCCCACACGCACACCCUAAAAGUCAUAAAACUGAAUAAAAACUGAAAACCUGCAUUUAUUCACACAGACUGAAAGGUGACAAUCAUAUGCAACAAAAUUGACAUAUAUAUUAACACAUAUAUAAACUCUGUAGUCUCUAAUGAUCAUUGCUUGCCAUGGCUCAUUUAGUAGCUGCAUUCACACAUCACCACAUGUCUGCAGUGAUUGACAUAAUGGCAUCAGAGUGAGAACAAAAUGUCUUCCAAUAAAGGAGCAGGAGGGAGAAAAUGAGAGAGAUGGGUUACAUCUAUGCCCGUGCUGAAAUGAGUGCAGUGCUUUGUUUGGUUAUGCUGUCUGAGCUGAAAUUGAUUUCUGUGAGAAGCAUGCACCAAAGAGCCCCUGCAUUCAGAUGAAAUAAAUAACACACUCUCGUAGAGAUGGGAGGGUAUGUGGAAGAAGGAACAGAAGGUGAAAAAUGGGAUAGCGGAGGAGGGAAGAAACAAAGAUGGAUGAGGUCAAAAUGAAUUUACAGUAAAAGGGGGUAAAAGAAAGAAAGAAAGAAAGAAAGAAAGAAAGAAAGAAAGAAAGAAAGAAAGAAAGAGCUGAGAUAAAAAUGAAGGGAAUGUCUAAAGGUGGUGGACUGAAUGCCAUGUCUUAAGUCUAGCACAGCAUUGAAAAAGACACAGCCUGGAAGACAUCUGGAGCGGAGGAUAUCAGCCACACACCACUCUCCGACCACAGACAACAUGAUGAGGGAUUAAACUUCAUUACAACAUGUUAUGGUAAUGAAUGGGCUGUGGCUAGUUGUGGAUGUGUUAAGAGUAAUUAUCCUUCUCCAGCAUAUGUGUGAGUGACACUUGAUUGCGAACGCCAUGUGUCUGUAUGUGCAUGUGUGCUCAUCAUAAUCACGGGAAUCCAUGGUUAGUCAACUGGAUAUGGCCUAAAAUAUCCAAGAGGUCUUUUCCACAUUGAACCAAACAGAAGCGAGCUAAUUAAAAUGCAAUGCGGCAAGAAUAAUCUCUCACAAUUAGUUUUAACACCAUUCCUCACCAGAAGAUGAGCUUGGGCAGGCCCAGGCAUUGUGGUCUGGGCCAGCGUUUGGGUAUCUGGGUCCAGGGUUAUUGCCAGAGAGGGAGGGGGACAGACAAAGCCGCACAACCCAGAGAUGUGAGGUUGAAUCUCGGUCACUUCGACUGCCUGUUCUUAUGGCUGACAGAUGUUAGUCUGAUUCAACAAGAUUUGCGACUCUGGAAAAAGUUACACCGCACUUUGCUCCCCGCUGCAAAUUUUAUUCUCUGUGCAAUGAAACAUCUCAUACAUCAUCAUUUAACAAGACAUAAGCAAAAGCCCCUCCCUGGAUUACAAAGUCACUGAUAAACUUUGCCACUUGAAUCUACGGUUGCAAUGCGCUGAAGUAUUUAAGUGUUUGAGCUGGCCGGUCUAACAGUAUAGUGUUCCCUAGUUGAGUGACAGCGUGCUUUUAAAUGCAAAAACACAGAAGCCUGCUAUUGUUGACGUACCGCUGCUAAUGUUGCUAAAGAUCGACAAGGACUGGAAAACUCUUUUAUUUAUCAAAGUGUGAGAGUCUGGAGGGAAUCAAAGGGGAAGUCCUGUCCCCAGGCUGGCUUACAUCAUCCUCUUCACAGUAGAAGAGGGACAUGCUGUGAAUAGGUGUUCCCCACAUCGGCAACCUAUUAGUUCCUCGUGUUUACUAAUAUUUGGAGUUGUGGCGUUGUAAGUGUUUUGUUCUGCGUAAGGGAAACAGACACAAGGCUUCUGUGUUGGCAUAUUUCCCAGAGUGGGCAUGUGGACAUGCAGACAAGCAGGGUGGUAUUAAAUAGAAAGAGUCUUUUCCCCAGGGAGGAUGGAAGAGUGAGAUGACAGUGGAUCAUUAGACUGGUGUUGCCUGCAGCUUGCUAAUUUAUGCAAAUUAAUUUCUUUGCUGAUGCCAAUGCUUCCCAAGCAGUCGACAUCAAAAGCCGAACGGGUUAAACAGCUCUACUCUCCUUUGGUGGUCUGGGACGUUUAGCAGCAUAAGCUAGGGAAGGCUGUGUUAUACCAGGCAACAAUCACACAAAUGCACACUAUGCCAGCCUUCUUCCUGGCAAGGCAUCGGACAGACAGCCAAUCAGGUCCACGCUGGUUCUCUUGUAGACGAAUGGCAUGGCACGCUGGCCCUCUUGUCGCCCCGCCUACCCUCCCCGCUGCACCGCAGCUGCCCAGAAUGAUUUUAUAAACAUUUUGCCAGUGGAUCAAUACCUGUAUUGAUCAACCAUUGUGAGAGUGAUCCGUCUAAAACCCAGAGCAGCCUAGAGCUCAGAGAUGGGAGGAGCGAAAGAGAGAGGCUGCAGAGAGGAUGGAGAAAGAGAGAGAGUCUGCAGCCACAGUGAAAGGGAGAAGAGGUGCAAGGGAAGAGAAGGGAAUCUGAGAGAGAAGCAGAUGCAGAGCUGAAGGCAGGUGGAAGGAAGAUUUCGGAAAACGCUGCCAGGCCGCUGGGAUUGGGGAGAAACCAAUGGAACACCCUACCUUUUUUUCCUCUUUGAAAAGUAGUACUUGGAAUGGUCGGCACUUUUCCUUGGUGACAAAGAAGGCCCAGCACACAGAGCUGUCAUGAAUUCAGGUGAUACAGCAAAAUCAAAACUGGAUAUUCCUGGGAAAUCCUGGACCUCUUGGAAAGUAAAAGUCUGCAACUUGGACACACCCACAUAGGAAGAAACAAUGCAGUUCUAAAAAUCAAAAUGGCUGAAUGAAGAUAGUGUAUGCUAUGGAAAACAGUUUGCAGUAUGGCAAUUUUUAAGUGGUGCGGAUAUAGCUGUCUUUGGGAUUUUAGUUUUCACAUUUUUACAGAUCAUUGGAUUAAAUAGACUUUUAAAAAAUAUUUUAAUUAUGUGGAAAUUUUACAGAAGAGAGGACUUAGUCGACAAAGCUCACCAGCGAAAAUUAAUGAUCGAUUUAAGGCCACAAAUGGCACUGCAGGAGGAGGAGCCAAAAGCUUUUGGGAUCAUCCUCCAAAUCUAAAGGGAAAUUAAGUUUCCAUUGACUGGUUUUAAAUGUGACUAUCUUGCACAUAACUGAGUAUUUGAGAGGAGAUAAAUGCUCAUUGAUACUCAUGAACUCACUAUGCACUGGAGUCCUGAUGUGGAAAAACAGAAAGAGGCCUCUACGCUCUACAGGUUCACUCGUUGUGAAAAAUCAGUUGGACUUGACAAAUGAAUGUGAUGUACCAAGGGAAAAGGCACAUGUAAUUUUGUUAAUAAACUGCAAAAAAGAAUUUAAAAACAUAGAAAACAAUAUAAGUCUCUCUAUGUUUGUGGGACUAUUUCCCUUUACCUGUGGCAGCACUUCUUCACACUAAAACAAAUCUGUUUAACAGUAUGCUGCUCUGGACAGGGUGUCAGGGUGGCUCCCAACAGAGUUCAAUGAAUCUAUGCCAUUUUCUAAUGAGGGAAAAAAUUAAAUCACAAAUGUAUAAACGUAUAUUUUGUAAACUUAUAUGCUUUCAUGUAUGAAUGAAUACAUUUUUUCACUAUGGUGAUUUUAUAUGACUUCAAACAGAUUACACUUUUUGACAAGUGCAGUUGAGGGAUUAUAUAUUGUGGCAGAGUUUGGUUCUGAGUUACUACUUGUAUCACACUUGAACUGGAUUUCAAAAAGCAGAUGGAGUAUUGGUAACCAGGACAUUCAGAUGAUGAGAGGAAAGUUAGCAACACCAGGAUGAGAAUACUUGUAUCAGACUUUGUCAAUAUACGUAAUGCACACAUUACAUGUCCAGCAGCAGCAGCAGCAAGCAAUUUUAACCACUGCCAUCCAUAGUGCUUUGAGUAAAAAUGUUUCGAUCAGCUUAGGGGUGAAAAAAACAAAACAAAAAAGCUGUCACAGGUCUCUGACAUAUGUGUUAAUAUAAACAAAUGUCCCUAAAGUGACUAAUUAUCACGACACCUAAAUAAAUCUGAAAUUAUAAAGCUACAGUGCAAACUAGUAUAAUCUAUUUAUUCAAGAUAAAUGUCCAUAUUCUUAACAUGAACUUUUUGAGUGGCAAACAGCAAAGAUUCAGGACCUGUGUUAGAACAAUACUGGGGGUUGCACUGGUGGGGGCAUGUUUAAGGUACUACUGCACUAAUAUAAUUGUGAAAAUACAGUACAGCAAAUGCAGGUGGUGUACCAUAUCAUGUGGCAAAACGCUGUACAGGAAAGACAGGCUUUACAGUACAGUUACAAGCUGCAUGUUUUGAAGUACUGCAACAAGACUGUGUGCUAGCCUUUGUUUGACUGGCCAGUGCAAUGCCUUGUUGGAUGACUGUGUCGUCAUUCAGCAAACAGCCCUGUUCUGUUAUGUUGGCAUCCUUCCUGAAACACUAUCCUGGCACCAUUCAAAUGAAUGAAAGUCUUGUUUGCCCAUGCAAAGCUAAAGUUGAUUAGUCAACAACCUUGGCUGGCUAAAAAAAAGUGGACGAAAGAAAGCAGUUGCAAAGGUUAUAAAUUGCACACUUACAUUUGCAUUACCUACUUGUCAAAUAAAUCAGUUUGUGCCAUAAACCAACAAAGCCUAAGACCUAUGAGAUUUAAGCCAGGAGUUGAUCGAUACAGCCUCAAAAUUAGAGCUUUACCCAUUAAACAAUGUUUCAUCAUAAUUACAUAAACAUCCAUCCAUCUUCUUUUAUUGGUUAUAACAAUUAACCAAUAGCUUUUACUUUUAUUGUUACUCUCCUUUUGUCCAUAUCUGCUUAGUUUCAGGAAGAUAAACACUUAAGCCAUAUCAACUCUCUCAAAGAUAUAAUUCAUGUGCUAUCAAAGCAGAACUGGGGUGCUGCAGUCAUUUCCUUGUUUCCUUGUUUCCUUUUAUCCUUUUCGUUUGAUUCCUACUGUCAAAAACAAAUCCUUGGAAGAAUGCCAAACAAUAAAUUAGGGUCUUCAUUAAACACAUCAAAUCUAAAUUACUAUUCAAUUAACAAGGCAGUCAACCUGAACUAAUCAACCAAUUAGGCUGUGUGUGUACACAGAAAAGCCAACAAAAGCGCACGAGUCCCCUGGGAAAGCUGUAAAACACUGCAGAAGAGUGACAGUACAAAUGAGAAGAGACUUGUUUAGCAGGGAAAAGGAGGAUGUGGAAGUGGCAGAAGGUAAAUGUGGCACUAAGAUGACUACGAACCCCAUUCAUCUCUGAGCAAAACAAAUAAAAUAAUUAAAAAUGGAAUAAAGUGUCCAAAAAAAAAGAGUACCAAAGGAAAUUUUAAAAAAUGUGGAUACCUACGAACUUACAAGAUCUGCAACCGACUGUGUGUUUUGAUUGGUAUAUUUUCAGGUGUUUCUAAGCAAUAUUUUUAUUUCAGAAAUGUGUUAAAAAAUAAGGCAUAUUUAUCUUCUGCACAUACACAUAUUAACUGCUCAUAAUAUCCAUGUUAAGCUAUGUUUUGUUAGUUUUAUAAUUUUUCAUUAAAUAAAAGUAUCAAUCCUGGAAGAGUGCUUUAUCAAACAACUCGAUAGUGUACAU